ACGAACGCUGGCGGCGUGGAUAAGACAUGCAAGUCGAACGAGAGAAUUGCUAGCUUGCUAAUAAUUCUCUAGUGGCGCACGGGUGAGUAACACGUGAGUAACCUGCCCCCGAGAGCGGGAUAGCCCUGGGAAACUGGGAUUAAUACCGCAUAGUAUCGAAAGAUUAAAGCAGCAAUGCGCUUGGGGAUGGGCUCGCGGCCUAUUAGUUAGUUGGUGAGGUAACGGCUCACCAAGGCGAUGACGGGUAGCCGGUCUGAGAGGAUGUCCGGCCACACUGGAACUGAGACACGGUCCAGACACCUACGGGUGGCAGCAGUCGAGAAUCAUUCACAAUGGGGGAAACCCUGAUGGUGCGACGCCGCGUGGGGGAAUGAAGGUCUUCGGAUUGUAAACCCCUGUCAUGUGGGAGCAAAUUAAAAAGAUAGUACCACAAGAGGAAGAGACGGCUAACUCUGUGCCAGCAGCCGCGGUAAUACAGAGGUCUCAAGCGUUGUUCGGAAUCACUGGGCGUAAAGCGUGCGUAGGCUGUUUCGUAAGUCGUGUGUGAAAGGCGCGGGCUCAACCCGCGGACGGCACAUGAUACUGCGAGACUAGAGUAAUGGAGGGGGAACCGGAAUUCUCGGUGUAGCAGUGAAAUGCGUAGAUAUCGAGAGGAACACUCGUGGCGAAGGCGGGUUCCUGGACAUUAACUGACGCUGAGGCACGAAGGCCAGGGGAGCGAAAGGGAUUAGAUACCCCUGUAGUCCUGGCAGUAAACGGUGCACGCUUGGUGUGCGGGGAAUCGACCCCCUGCGUGCCGGAGCUAACGCGUUAAGCGUGCCGCCUGGGGAGUACGGUCGCAAGAUUAAAACUCAAAGAAAUUGACGGGGACCCGCACAAGCGGUGGAGUAUGUGGCUUAAUUCGAUGCAACGCGAAGAACCUUACCUGGGCUUGACAUGUAAUGAACAACAUGUGAAAGCAUGCGACUCUUGGGAGGCGUUACACAGGUGCUGCAUGGCCGUCGUCAGCUCGUGUCGUGAGAUGUUUGGUUAAGUCCAGCAACGAGCGCAACCCCUGUUGCCAGUUACCAGCACGUGAAGGUGGGGACUCUGGCGAGACUGCCCAGAUCAACUGGGAGGAAGGUGGGGACGACGUCAGGUCAGUAUGGCCCUUAUGCCCAGGGCUGCACACGUACUACAAUGCCCAGUACAGAGGGGGCCGAAGCCGCGAGGCGGAGGAAAUCCUAAAAACUGGGCCCAGUUCGGACUGUAGGCUGCAACCCGCCUACACGAAGCCGGAAUCGCUAGUAAUGGCGCAUCAGCUACGGCGCCGUGAAUACGUUCCCGGGUCUUGUACACACCGCCCGUCACAUCAUGGAAGCCGGUCGCACCCGAAGUAUCUGAAGCCAACCGCAAGGAGGCAGGGUCCUAAGGUGAGACUGGUAACUGGGAUG
rnacentral:rRNA from 1 species